AUUGAACGCUGGCGGCAGGCCUAACACAUGCAAGUCGAGCGCGAAAGUCUUCGGAUGAGUAAAGCGGCGGACGGGUGAGUAAUGCAUGGGAAUCUGCCUGGUAGUGGGGGACAACGUUUCGAAAGGAACGCUAAUACCGCAUACGCCCUACGGGGGAAAGGGGGGGAUCUUCGGACCUCUCGCUAUCAGAUGAGCCAAUGUCAGAUUAGCUUGUUGGUGAGGUAAAGGCUCACCAAGGCGACGAUCUGUAACUGGUCUGAGAGGAUGAUCAGUCACACUGGAACUGAGACACGGUCCAGACUCCUACGGGAGGCAGCAGUGGGGAAUAUUGGACAAUGGGCGAAAGCCUGAUCCAGCCAUGCCGCGUGUGUGAAGAAGGCCUUAGGGUUGUAAAGCACUUUCAGUGGGGAGAAAGGUAAUUCACCUAAUACGUGAGUUAAUUGAUGUUACCCACAGAAGAAGCACCGGCUAACUCCGUGCCAGCCGCCGCCGUGG
rnacentral:rRNA from 1 species